AGGAUUGUAGUUAAAAUUAAAUAACAAUUAAUUUGCAAUUAAUAAUUAUUAUUUCAAAAUAAGCUAUCUUA
rnacentral:tRNA from 1 species